rnacentral:rRNA from 1 species
UAGCUAGUUGGUGAGGUAACGGCUUACCAAGGCGACGAUCUGUAGCGGGUCUGAGAGGAUGAUCCGCCACACUGGAACUGAGACACGGUCCAGAUUCCUACGGGAGGCAGCAGUGGGGAAUUUUGGACAAUGGGGGCAACCCUGAUCCAGCCAUGCCGCGUGAGUGAAGAAGGCCUUCGGGUUGUAAAGCUCUUUCGGCCGGGAAGAAAUCGCAUGGGCCAAUACCCUGUGUGGAUGACGGUACCGGAAUAAGAAGCACCGGCUAACUACGAGCCAGCAGCCGCUGUAAUACGUAGGGUGCGAGCGUUAGUCGGAAUUACUGGGCGUAAAGCGUGCGCAGGCGGUUUUGUAAGACAGGCGUGAAAUCCCCGGGCUCAACCUGGGAACUGCGUUUGUGACUGCAAGGCUAGAGUACGGCAGAGGGGGGUGGAAUUCCACGUGUAGCAGUGAAAUGCGUAGAGAUGUGGAGGAACACCAAUGGCGAAGGCAGCCCCCUGGGUCGAUACUGACGCUCAUGCACGAAAGCGUGGGUAGCAAACAGGAUUAGAUACCCUGGUAGUCCACGCCCUAAACUAUGUCAACUAGGUGUUGGGUGGGUAAAACCAUUUAGUACCGUAGCUAACGCGUGAAGUUGACCGCCUGGGGAGUACGGCCGCAAGGUUAAAACUCAAAGGAAUUGACGGGGACCCGCACAAGCGGUGGAUGAUGUGGAUUAAUUCGAUGCAACGCGAAAAACCUUACCUACCCUUGACAUGCCAGGAACUUGCCAGAGAUGGCUUGGUGCCCGAAAGGGAGCCUGGACACAGGUGCUGCAUGGCUGUCGUCAGCUCGUGUCGUGAGAUGUUGGGUUAAGUCCCGCAACGAGCGCAACCCUUGUCGUUAAUUGCCAUCAUUUAGUUGGGCACUUUAGCGAGACUGCCGGUGACAAACCGGAGGAAGGUGGGGAUGACGUCAAGUCCUCAUGGCCCUUAUGGGUAGGGCUUCACACGUCAUACAAUGGUCGGUACAGAAGGUCGCCAAGCCGCGAGGCGGAGCCAAUCCCAGAAAGCCGAUCGUAGUCCGGAUUGCAGGCUGCAACUCGCCUGCAUGAAGUCGGAAUCGCUAGUAAUCGUGGAUCAGCAUGUCACGGUGAAUACGUUCCCGGGUCUUGUACACACCGCCCGUCACACCAUGGGAGCGGGUUCCGCCAGAAGUAGGUAGCCUAACCGCAAGGAGGGCGCUUACCACGGCGGGGUUCGUGACUGGGGUGAAGUCGUAACAAGGUAGCCGUAGGGGAACCUGCGGCUG